rnacentral:rRNA from 1 species
UACGUAGGGGGCAAGCGUUGUCCGGAAUCAUUGGGCGUAAAGAGCGUGUAGGCGGCUCGGUAAGUCCGCUGUGAAAGUCCAGGGCUCAACCCUGGAAUGCCGGUGGAAACUGUCGAGCUAGAGUCCGGAAGAGGCGAGUGGAAUUCCUGGUGUAGCGGUGAAAUGCGCAGAUAUCAGGAGGAACACCGGUGGCGAAGGCGGGUCUCUGGGCCGAUACUGACGCUGAGGAGCGAGAGCAUGGGUAGCGAACAGG